rnacentral:rRNA from 1 species
CUACGGGGCGCUGCAGUGGGGAAUAUUGCACAAUGGGCGCAAGCCUGAUGCAGCCAUGCCGCGUGUAUGAAGAAGGCCUUCGGGUUGUAAAGUACUUUCAGCGGGGAGGAAGGGAGUAAAGUUAAUACCUUUGCUCAUUGACGUUACCCGCAGAAGAAGCACCGGCUAACUCCGUGCCAGCAGCCGCGGUAAUACGGAGGGUGCAAGCGUUAAUCGGAAUUACUGGGCGUAAAGCGCACGCAGGCGGUUUGUUAAGUCAGAUGUGAAAUCGCCGGGCUCAACCUGGGAACUGCAUCUGAUACUGGCAAGCUUGAGUCUCGUAGAGGGGGGUAGAAUUCCAGGUGUAGCGGUGAAAUGCGUAGAGAUCUGGAGGAAUACCGGUGGCGAAGGCGGCCCCUUGGACGAAGACUGACGCUCAGGUGCGAAAGCGUGGGGAGCAAACAGGAUUAGAUACCCCGGUAGUC